rnacentral:rRNA from 1 species
GACGUAGGAUGCGAGCGUUGUCCGGAUUUAUUGGGCGUAAAGAGUUCGUAGGUGGUUUGUUAAGUCCGUAGUUAAAUACCGGGGCCCAACCCCGGGACUGCUUUGGAUACUGGCAGACUGGAGUGCAGUAGAGGCAAGCGGAAUUCCCAGUGUAGCGGUGAAAUGCGUAGAUAUUGGGAAGAACACCAGUGGCGUAAGCGGCUUGCUGGGCUGUAACUGACGCUGAGGAACGAAAGCCAGGGGAGCGAAUGGG